CUUACAUUUGCUUCGAAUAUCAUAUCCACCAAUUUCACAUGUGGUAAACUCUUGCUUCACAUAUUAAAAUGUCUACUACACAUACCACACUCACACUAUUAACACCUACUACAAAUUUGAUAAGCACUAUCCUUCGACUCCUCCGACAUCUUUUCGCCGUCCAUUUACGGUGACCACCAUUAGCAUCACCAACAUCGUCCCACACACGAUCACUAAUUUCUUCAUAUUUUUCACACUUUGGAAAUUGUUUGUUGCUUCAAACCGUUGGCUCUAACGGAUACCCAUUGUAUUUCCUAUCCCAACGCUUCUGACAGCUUCUAUCAGAUACUUAAACCCCCCAUCCGUCACCAUCCCCAGUCCCCACCCUCCUUCCCUUCCGUCUCUUUUUACAGGUGUGGAGUUUGUGAUCACCAUCCUCAACACCAAAGCCCACAGUGCACCACCGUUCAUCCUCCGAUGGCCAGUACCAGAACCGGCGGCCAGUACCAGUAUUAGUACAGUACCAGGUGCAGUACCAGUCUUCUAAUUUCUCUCAAGUGUGCACCGCAUCAGAUUCGUUUGGUUGAGGGAAAACAAAACCGAGGACCCCUGCUCUUCACCUGAAAUUUCUACUUCUUCAUCUGCCCUCUGAAAUUUUGGAAGCAACGCAAUUCGUUUUUUUGAUUCUCACACUUUCGAUUUAAGGGUUGUAAAUUUAAGAUUGUCUACAGAUCAGAACCGGUCGGGAAGGAUGGGUUAGCGGUGAUGUUUAGAGUACAUAGAUGUUAUAUUGAGCUGAGUACGUGACGAGUUGUAGUAUUGUAUUAGGUUUUUGAUAAAUGUAUAAUAGACUUGGUUGUGUUGGUUAUAUUGGACUUUUAAAAUGACUUUUAUGAUUGCAUUAUAUUUUAAUUAGAUUUUUUGUUUGAGAAUUAGCUGAUUUAGCUAUGUUUUAGAACUGGUGAAAACAUUACUCAAGUUUUGGAAUUGAGAUUUAAGUGUUUGGGAAAUAAACUCCGUGAUGACCCUAUUUACUCGGUUAACGAUAAAUCGGGUUAUUACACCCAACUCAAUUAAUUAAAACACCUACGGACCUACUACACACACGCAUUUCACAAAACACCUACUAUAAUUUUUAGUAAGUAUUUUGUAUGCUAAAGUAGACAUAAAAAUUCCUAUAACACAUAAAAUAAAUUGCUACAUUAAAUAACCUGAACACUUACAACACAUAACAUAAACUCCUACAGCACAUAACAUAAAUACAUAUAACCUAUAAUCUAAACACCUAUAACACAUAACAAAAAUAUUUACAACAUAUAACAAAACACCUACAACAAUAAUAACAUAAACACCUACUUGACAACUCUA